AGAAUAUUGCUUGAUUUAUCCAAAUUAUUCGUGAAAUACUUCAACAAUCCACUCCUUCAUAAUCUUGAUGUCAAUUAAAAAACUGUUUUCAGAAUUCCGCGAAAAUGACUUAAUCAAAUAGUUAAUGAUUUGUUGAUAUUGGCAUAAUAAUGAAAUGUUAUUCCAAUAUAGGUGACGUCUCAAACGUAGUAUUCCUUGAAUUGUGGAGAAUAAAAAAUCUGUGAGAACAAACUACCCGCAAUUGGGAAUAGGACGCGCGUGCUCUGCGCUGUAUCAAUAGUUAUAAACUGACGUGAUAUCCAAAAGCGAUGGAAGCAAGUUUCGAUGAUUGUUUUACGUGUUAUUUAGCUAGGUAGAUGUUUAGAACAGUUCUAUCGCUUCUUGGAGUUUGACGUCCCGUCUUGCGUUCUCGUUUAACGGGCAUCUGUAUAAUCCAAUUCAAAUAACCAUUUUUCCAUUCAUAUGGAUAAUAAAGUAAGGAAAUUACAGACAACAAUCCAGAGAGAAAUCACCACAAUGUAAUUUUGCCAAAAGAAAAUCAGUGGACGUCCGUUGCAAACCCCUCAGAGAUAAUGGAUGCUUGAAGUCACAUCAUUUCGGUCCGUUUUUGAAUCUGUCACUUGACAACGGGAACUUCAAAAGUUUCUUUUCUCCGGGUUUAGCUAGGACAAAGUCUGGAGACUGUAACCUGGGUCCAUUGGUCGCGGAUCACUCCUACUUUUCCAUAAAUUCACUGGCCCUUGGGUAACUCAAGUUUUGCUCCACAAAAUCGUAUUUGAGUUUUCGAAUCCCCUGUGUGCACCGCGGACCCCUUCACCUCGGGCAGGGGGAUUCGAAUUCACACGCACAGCGCUUCAUUCACCGGAGCUGAAUGCCUCGUCAAAUAGUAUGUGCCAUUCUCCCCCUUCAAGAAGCUUACAAUUGGUUUUUCCAAUUGAAUAUAUUUAACCUCUUCCAGGCUGGAUUGGAGAGCGCAGCGCAGAUCAGCUGUCAACUAUUUUCAGUUACGGAGCCAGUCUCAGUGUUCUACAGUGUGUUGCUCCUGCCAGGCUGCCACCAAUCCUUUAAUUGCCCUGGUUCUGCCACGGGCUGCUCAGCUGAAUACUUCCAAAUGGAAUUUUAACUUUACCUGGCGCCAACAGGAGAUAACAGUACAAGACUGAAACAUACAGGCGAUUAUGGACCCUGGCUUCACUGAGACAAGCAACAUGGGGUCUGACUGAGAGGACUGGCAUUGGGAGAGGCAUUCACUGACUGGCUUCACUGAGACCAGCAACAUGGGGUCUGACUGAGAGGACUGGCAUUGGGAGAGGCAUUCACUGACUGGCUUCACUGAGACCAGCAACAUGGGGUCUGACUGAGAGGACUGGCAUUGGGAGAGGCAUUCACUGACUGGCUUCACUGAGACCAGCAACAUGGGGUCUGACUGAGAGGACUGGCAUUGGGAGAGGCAUUCACUGACUGCAGGCAGAUGUGUUGAAGAUUAUUUUAGAAAGUGAAGAAGGAAAAUCCUACAGAACUCAGGUAGCUACAGUUACAAGGUAAUGUUGUGUCUACUAUGAUGCAUCAUCACCCCCUACUCCAUCCGAGCAUCAUCCAACUUGGUGUCCCAGGUCUAAACCAGUCCCUGAUUAGAGGGGAACUUGGUGUCCCAGGUCUAAACCAGUCCCUGAUUAGAGGGGAACUUGGUGUCCCAGGUCUAAACCAGUCCCUGAUUAGAGGGGAACUUGGUGUCCCAGGUCUAAACCAGUCCCUGAUUAGAGGGUAACUUGGUGUCUCAGGUCUAAACCAGUCCCUGAUUAGAGGGGAAGAAUGAAAAAAAGUGGAACUAGCUUCGAGGUCCAGAUUUGAAUGGGACUAACAUAGUAUAAAGACAACUCUGAUUUAAACGAUUUGAGUUUAAUGCUAAGAAGUAAGGAACCAAACACAACACAAGCAGACAAUAGCUCAGAUAUCAUUUAAACAAAUACUGAAAAUAUUUGUUUUUUUUUCGUUUUGCUAUCGACAUUAGACUUGGAGCAAAUUUGCUCUGUUUCCUCUUAAUUGCCUACGACAGCCAUCCAUCCAUACAGUAUCAGAUGACAAUCACUGAGCUUCUCUCUAAACAGGCAGCCUCACCCGCGCAUAUCUCCUCUCUAUCGCAGACCAGGCGACCUUGAUCAGAACAGCACAGAGGCAGAAAAAAUAACAUAUUUGUCUUGGCUGUGACAGCAGUGAGCCGGGAGAGGAGACAGUAGAGUGCUUUUAACAACACAGUCAUUUCUCCUUUCCUUGGCACAACCUCCAUGAAGAGAAAACAUGAAAGGACAGCCAACUUUUCCACCCUUCCCUUCAUCCCACUCCAGGAAACUUGUGAUGAUUACAAUAACUCAAACAUCGUCCUCAAUUAGUAGGAAAAGGGAUGCAUGUGAUGUCAGGAGAUUCAAGCCAAAGUUUGGGGUCAAUUAAUUUGUAAAAGCUCCAGGCUUCUCCAUCCUUCGAUAGAAUGCACAAAUCAUUUGGUUAGACUUACUGUGGAAGAUGUGGUUACAUUUGUGUGUCUUGCUGCCGUGGUGUCUCAGAGGUAGGGGGUCUUGGUGGGGCCCCUGAGUCUUCCCCUGCUGUCUCUUACACCAGCUGGGCGGAGAGCUCCACAGACCAGCGUGGCGAGGGGCCCCAUGAUGAGGACCCUUAUGAGGGAAGACCCCCAGCAUCACCAGCAUGGCCAACAUCACCACCAGCAGAGAUACAGGCUGCAUGGUGCCUGCUGUAAUAACACAGAACCAGACCAAUCCCACUGGGAUGGAUCCUUUUCACAGCCACGUCAACAGCAACAACUCACGUCCAGGUCCUACUCCGAUAUUCCCAAAUCUGAGUAGUCCAGCGGUAGUUUAAGAUCCCAGUGUCGAGCAAUGUGUCCAGUACCAGUAUCCAACAUACAGUUCAGUAACCAUGUCAUUGCCUGACACUUUCAACACAAAGAGAAGGAUCCACCUUGGCUUAAUUGGUGACAGACCUAUUCUUUCAAAUACAGGUUCAACUUGAGAAAACGGUUCUAAAGCACCAUGCAGAGAGAACUAUGAGAUCCAAUGGCAUUUCAGAAUUAAACUCAGAGAUGAAAAGGUGCCAAAGCAGCCCCACCCCCCCCCAAAAAAAAGAAUAGCAAAUUAGACCCUGGACAGCAAAUUAGACUAGCUUUCUUGAUACAGUAUCACCCUACAGUCCAGCCAAAUCCUCCUCGCACCCCUGCAGACUCUCCUCAGACUCUCCACGUCCACAGCUAGUGUUUCUCCUAGUGUAUGAUGGGAUCUUAAUGAGGGGCUCACUGUGAUCAACACUAUAUACAAUGUGCAUGGUGGCGUUCAUCCCCUUUCUCUCUCUCUCCCCAGCAAGCUCAAUGGGCAGGCCAUCUUCUCUCUCCCCUCUCUCUCCCCAGCCAGCUCAAUGGAGAGGCCAUCUUCUCUCCCCCCUCUCUCUCUCUCCCCAGCCAGCUCAAUGGAGAGGCAAUCUUCUCGCCCCCUCUCUCUCU
rnacentral:lncRNA from 13 species